rnacentral:pre_miRNA from 1 species
UGUGUACUCCCUCCGUUCGGAAUUACUUGUCGCAGAAAUAAAUAUAUCUAGACGUAUUUUAGUUCUAGAUACAUCCAUUUCCGAGACAAGUAAUUCCGAACGGAGAGAGUAUGUA